UGGGGAAUUUUGGACAAUGGGCGAAAGCCUGAUCCAGCAAUGCCGCGUGUGUGAAGAAGGCCUUCGGGUUGUAAAGCACUUUUGUCCGGAAAGAAAUCCUUGGCUCUAAUACAGUCGGGGGAUGACGGUACCGGAAGAAUAAGCACCGGCUAACUACGUGCCAGCAGCCGCGGUAAUACGUAGGGUGCAAGCGUUAAUCGGAAUUACUGGGCGUAAAGCGUGCGCAGGCGGUUUGCUAAGACCGAUGUGAAAUCCCCGGGCUCAACCUGGGAACUGCAUUGGUGACUGGCAGGCUAGAGUAUGGCAGAGGGGGGUAGAAUUCUACGUGUAGCAGUGAAAUGCGUAGAGAUGUGGAGGAAUACCGAUGGCGAAGGCAGCCCCCUGGGCCAAUACUGACGCUCAUGCACGAAAGCGUGGGGAGCAAACAGGAUUAGAUACCCUGGUAGUCCACGCCCUAAACGAUGUCAACUAGUUGUUGGGGAUUCAUUUCCUUAGUAACGUAGCUAACGCGUGAAGUUGACCGCCUGGGGAGUACGGUCGCAAGAUUAAAACUCAAAGGAAUUGAC
rnacentral:rRNA from 1 species